UAAGGAAUAUUGGUCAAUGGAGGCAACUCUGAACCAGCCAUGCCGCGUGCAGGAAGAAGGCCCUAUGGGUCGUAAACUGCUUUUGAACAAGAGAAAACCCCGGUACGUGUACUGGGUUGAUAGUAUUGUUAGAAUAAGCAUCGGCUAACUUCGUGCCAGCAGCCGCGGUAAGACGAAGGAUGCAAGCGUUAUCCGGAUUCAUUGGGUUUAAAGGGUGCGUAGGCGGACUGAUAAGUCAGUGGUGAAAUCUCUCGGCUUAACCGAGAAACUGCCAUUGAUACUGUUAGUCUAGAGUACAGAUGAUGUGGGCGGAAUAUGACAUGUAGUGGUGAAAUACUUAGAUAUGUCAUAGAACACCGAUUGCGAAGGCAGCUCACAAAACUGUAACUGACGCUGAGGCACGAAAGUGCGGGGAGUCAAACAGGAUUAGAUACCCUUGUAGUCCCUGAGCGGGCUGGCAAGGCGCAU
rnacentral:rRNA from 1 species